GAUGAACGCUGGCGGCGUGCCUAAUACAUGCAAGUCGAGCGAACAGACGAGGAGCUUGCUCCUCUGACGUUAGCGGCGGACGGGUGAGUAACACGUAGAUAACCUACCUAUAAGACUGGGAUAACUUCGGGAAACCGGAGCUAAUACCGGAUAAUAUAUUGAACCGCAUGGUUCAAUAGUGAAAGACGGUUUUGCUGUCACUUCUAGAUGGAUCCGCGCCGAAUUAGCUAGUUGGUAAGGUAACGGCUUACCAAGGCAACGAUGCGUAGCCGACCUGAGAGGGUGAUCGGCCACACUGGAACUGAGACACGGUCCAGACUCCUACGGGAGGCAGCAGUAGGGAAUCUUCCGCAAUGGGCGAAAGCCUGACGGAGCAACGCCGCGUGAGUGAUGAAGGUCUUCGGAUCGUAAAACUCUGUUAUUAGGGAAGAACAAAUGUGUAAGUAACUAUGCACGUCUUGACGGUACCUAAUCAGAAAGCCACGGCUAACUACGUG
rnacentral:rRNA from 1 species